rnacentral:misc_RNA from 1 species
GAUGAAGAACGCAGCGAAAUGCGAUACGUAAUGUGAAUUGCAGAAUUCAGUGAAUCAUCGAGUCUUUGAACGCACAUUGCGCCCCCUGGUAUUCCGGGGGGCAUGCCUGUCCGAGCGUCAUUGCUGCCCUCAAGCACGGCUUGUGUGUUGGGCCUCCGUCCCCCUCCCGGGGGACGGGCCCGAAAGGCAGCGGCGGCACCGCGUCCGGUCCUCGAGCGUAUGGGGCUUCGUCACCCGCUCUUGUAGGCCCGGCCGGCGCUUGCCGACACAUCAAUCUUUUUUCCAGGUUGACCUCGGAUCAGGUAGGGAUACCCGCUGAACUUAAGCAUAUCAAUAAGCGGAGGA